AUACGGAGGGAGCAAGCGUUAUUCGGAAUCACUGGGCGUAAAGGACGCGUAGGCGGGUUUGUAGUCAGGUGUGAAAUCCUACAGCUCAACUGUAGAACUGCACUUGAAACUACAGACCUAGAGUAUGGAAGGGGCAGAUGGAAUUAGUGGUGUAGGGGUUAAAUCCGUAGAUAUCACUAGGAAUACCGAAAGCGAAGACGAUCUGCUGGGACAUUACUGACGCUGAGGCGUGAAAGCGUGGGGAGCAAACAGGAUUAGAAACCCCGGUAGUCC
rnacentral:rRNA from 1 species